CAGAGGCAGAGACAGUCAAAAUACAGAGAUCGACAGUAAGAGAGACAGCAACAGAACAGAGACAGAGACAGAGAGACACGUGGAGAUAAUGAGGGAUACGGAAAAACCAAGUGAGCUAUCUAAGUAUCUAUAAAUGUCCGCCUAUCACCUAUCUAUCUGUCUGUCUGUCAGUCAUCAGCUAUCAUAGACCAAAUCUCACACAGGGACAGUGAUCAGAGAUAGAGACACACAGGGCCAGAGACAGACAAAUGAAGACAGAGAACUAGAGAAAGGCAGAAGAGAGAGUUGGAGAGACAGAGAGACACAUGCUUCCUGAGAGACAUACAGAUGGACACUGAAAGAGAAAGGGCAGGAAAUAAAGAGCUAAACAGAGACUGAGGGAAAGAGAGAGUGACAGACACAAAGGAGAGAUGCACAGAGACAGACACACAGGCACACACAUGGAAAUUACACAGAGAUGUGCAGAGACAGGGACCAAGACAGACUGAGAGAGAGAGAGAGGGGAGCAGAAGCAGAAGCAGAGGGAAAAUAAUCAGGGGUUCUGAACCCAGGGGCUCAGUGCAGAGAGAGGUGCCCCCUGCUGGGUAAACGCUGGUACUAGCCGGUGCCCAGCCCCGCUCUGGGCUCUAAAACCUGGGCGAGUGAACGAACACAGAGCCAGAGAAAGCCCCAGAAAGACAAGCCCAGGAACCUCGAGGACCGUCGGAGGAGAAGACAAGGGAGAUCCCAGGCAGUCUAUCGACUGAAGAGAGAUGAAGCCGGUGAGCCCUGUCUUGAGAGCCAUCCUCCUCUGUGACCGGUACCUGGCCCUUUACCUGCUGAGCUUCCGGCAGCAGAAGUGUGAUCUGCUCCAGAAAUGAUGUGCAAAACUUGACCUGUUUCCUGAGGUUGAUAUAAGUCAGCCAGCUUCAAACCCUUCUGCAAGAGCUCUGCAUUAGCAAACCAAGCUGGUUCCAAGCAUCCCCUUCCUCACAAGCGGUCUUGUCGGGCUCCAGCAACCGCCCCCUCCCUUUGUACCUGCAAGGAUGAAAGGUCAGACUCGCUGAAGCUAGUUUACAGGUAUUCUAUCACGCCGGGCUGGCUCUCCCUCAGUUUUGGAAACAGUCCUUUCAUUAAACUCGAAAUGAUCCCAUUUGUGUGUGACUCACCUUUCCUGCUGGGGUCCCAACACAGCUCUCCAUUGCAUGGUUGCUCCAUAGUUUGUGUGGUCCGUCAUCAGGCCACAGUUAUUUCCAAUCUUUCACUGUGACCCAAAGCGGCAACACAUAAACUUGCCUAUAGGUCAUUUUGCACACAUUUGGGUAAACCUGUAGGAUAAAUAUUAGAUGAGGAAUUGCUGAGUCAGAUAAUGCAUAUUUAUAAUUUUGGCUGAUACUGUUAAAUCAUGCUGAAUGGUUGAACCAAUCCACGGCUCCAUUAGCAGAGGAUGAGAAUGAGGGUUGCUUUUUAGACUAAAUUCAUAAUCCGUAAUGUUUGGAUGCCUGUCUUGGAGGCUAUUAAGGAUUCUCCAGAUAAGGAUACCAAACUUCUAGUUAAUAAUAGGCAGGUAUCUGGAAUAAUAAAUUGAAUAAAAAAUUGAAUAAAGGGUGUGUGUGAAUGUAUUUGUUUCCCAUCUUGGAAUCUCCGA